rnacentral:rRNA from 1 species
AACGAACGCUGGCGGCAGGCUUAACACAUGCAAGUCGAACGGGUGUAGCAAUACAUCAGUGGCAGACGGGUGAGUAACACGUGGGAACCUUCCUAGGGGUACGGAACAACUCAGGGAAACUUGAGCUAAUACCGUAUACGUCCGUGAGGAGAAAGAUUUAUCGCCCUUAGACGGGCCCGCGUCGGAUUAGGUAGUCGGUGGGGUAACGGCCUACCAAGCCUACGAUCCGUAGCUGAUCUUAGAGGAUGAUCAGCCACACUGGGACUGAGACACGGCCCAGACUCCUACGGGAGGCAGCAGUGGGGAAUCUUGGACAAUGGGCGCAAGCCUGAUCCAGCCAUGCCGCGUGAGUGAAGAAGGCCUUAGGGUUGUAAAGCUCUUUUACCAGGGACGAUAAUGACGGUACCUGGAGAAUAAGCCCCGGCAAACUUCGUGCCAGCAGCCGCCGCGGUAA